rnacentral:rRNA from 1 species
UGGGGAAUCUUAGACAAUGGGGGCAACCCUGAUCUAGCCAUGCCGCGUGAGUGAUGAAGGCCUUAGGGUUGUAAAGCUCUUUCAGCUGGGAAGAUAAUGACGGUACCAGCAGAAGAAGCCCCGGCUAACUCCGUGCCAGCAGCCGCGGUAAUACGGAGGGGGCUAGCGUUGUUCGGAAUUACUGGGCGUAAAGCGCACGUAGGCGGACUGGAAAGUCAGAGGUGAAAUCCCAGGGCUCAACCUUGGAACUGCCUUUGAAACUAUCAGUCUGGAGUUCGAGAGAGGUGAGUGGAAUUCCGAGUGUAGAGGUGAAAUUCGUAGAUAUUCGGAGGAACACCAGUGGCGAAGGCGGCUCACUGGCUCGAUACUGACGCUGAGGUGCGAAAGCGUGGGGAGCAAACAGAUUAGAUACCCAGGUAGUCCACGCCGUAAACGAUGAAUGCCGACGUCGGCAAGCAUGCUUGUCGGUGUCACACCUAACGGAUUAAGCAUUCCGCCUGGGGAGUACGGUCGCAAGAUUAAAACUUAAAUGAAUUGACGGGGAUCAUAGCUGUUUCCU